CCUACGGGAGGCAGCAGUGGGGAAUAUUGCGCAAUGGGCGGAAGCCUGACGCAGCGACGCCGUGUGGGGGAUGACGGCCUUCGGGUUGUAAACCUCUUUCGACUCUGACGAAGUCUGCGGGUUUUCUUGUGGGUGACGGUAGGGGUGGAAGAAGCGCCGGCCAACUACGUGCCAGCAGCCGCGGUAAGACGUAGGGCGCGAGCGUUGUCCGGAUUUAUUGGGCGUAAAGAGCUCGUAGGCGGCUUGUUGCGUCAAUCGUGAAAACCGGAUGCUUAACGUCUGGCUUGCGGUUGAUACGGGCGGGCUGGAGUUCGGUAGGGGAGACUGGAAUUCCUGGUGUAGCGGUGAAAUGCGUAGAUAUAUGGAGGAACACCAGUGGCGAAGGCGACUUACUGGAUCGAUACUGACGCUCAGUCACGAAAGCGUGGGUAGCAAAUAGGAUUAGAUACCCCAGUAGUCACUC
rnacentral:rRNA from 1 species